UCCGCCAUUACCCUAGUGGGGUCCCGAAACCCUCAGUGCCGCUCGGCCCGGAGGGUCCGGGAGGAGGGCUCCGCGUUGCGUGCGGGGCGGUGACCCUGAGACCGCCCCGGGGGAGUAAAUGGCAUUCUGCGCGGACCUGGGACCCUGGCCUUCGAGGCGGGGACCUCCGGGCGCUUUAGCGCUACGCUCUCCCGCGCCUGGGGACGGCGGCGGCGGGAAGCCUCGUACUUCCGGUCCGUCUACUCUGGGUCCGCGCCUUCAGUUCCGGGCAGGUCCGCAGUCUGUAGUUUGCCUUCCCCAGGCCGCGUGGGAGGUCGCGCCCCACGAGGGCAGGCCCAGGACUACCGGGGCAGCUCCGGGUCCCUCCGGUGGCGCCUCCUGGCCUUUGCACUUGGCUUCCCCUGCGCGUCGCCAAGCCCGGCGGCUCCUCUCCCGCGGUCGGACCCAGCGCCAACGCCCCCGUGGAAAGGCAGAAGAAGCCGCCGCCCCUCCCCACAUUGCAGCGGCACUCCGCUGGACGUCCCCGACGGCUUGUUCUUCUAAGUGGACGCCUAGUGCGUAGCUUGCCUUCUCUGCCCCACUUCACUCCGACCCCGGACAGAUGUCCAGGCUUAGUCUUGAACACUUGGUCUCUCAGCUCCCCUGUGCCCUAAGGUGGUGAUUCUGCAUCCUGCUCUCAACACCAGCAGCCCUGGGGACACUUAGAAAGGAUUUGCUGUCAAAGCAGCCUGGGACAGCUGUAAUGCAGGACUGGGGACAUGCUUCCCAGCUCCGGGGACCUGAAACCCAGAUUAUUCUUGCCAUGCUUGUUCUUGGUUCUUGGGUCCAAGAUCAGAAGGAUUUUCAGUUUCAGGUGCGGGUAGUUGGAUGGUGCAAGCUGGAAGGAAGCGGGGGCUGCAAGGCCUGGGUUGGGUUGUGGGAGGCAGGGGUUUUUUUGUUUGUUGGUUUGGUCCUGCCCCUCCCCCGUCCCCCCCCCCCCAACAGUAUUGGGGGUUGAACCCAAGGACACUCUUAUCAUUGAGCUAUAUUCCCAGUCUUUUUUAUUUUUGAGGGGGCACCUCUCCACACCUCAGACCUGCCCUGUAGAUCCUCUUGGGCUCACAGGACUUCCCAGGCCGCGGGAAUUGAAUUCAGGGGCACUGGACCACUGAGCCAUGUACCCAGCCCUGUAGGCCAUGUGGGAAUGCUGAGGUCUGUCAGGAGGCAGUAGGGGCAGGACAAGGGGAAGGCCUGCCAGAAAGGCAGGGCAGGGCAGAGAAAACAGUUUAGGACAGUCUAGCUGGAAUGAUUCCGGCAAGCUUUAAACCGCAGAUUAUUUCCUAGUUGUUUGGCACCUGCCCUGGACGACUGAAACAGGAAUAUUGCCUCCAGAGGCACAGGGCCCAAACUGGUCAGUCUGCGUAUCAAAGACUUGCUGCUGGCUGGCCCCAGGAGGGGCUGCUGUUGAGACAGGGUCUGUUUGUUGCCCAGGCUGGACUAACGUGAUCCUCCUGCCUCAGCGUCAGUGCUAGGACCACAAGUGUGUGCCAACCUCCCAGCUCAGAAAGACUUUUGAGUGAAAGAAACCGUAAGGGUGAAGAAGUAGGAGGAGCUUGGCAGGGUGAUUCUGACUCAGGGUCUCCCCACUGUGCUGCCCUCCUUCCGGGCCGGCCCUCAGGGACAGCAAGUUUCAGCACUCACUGGACAUCUGUGCCGGGGUUGAAGCUGAAAUCAACAUGUCAGUCGAAGCUGCAUUCAUCUGAAGGCCCUUUUGGGAGCUAGAGCCAGUAAAGACCAGGGAUUCCUUGUGGGCAGAACCCCUGGUACUCGGGAUCGAACCCAGGGAACUCCUUCCCUGUAUGACUUCACUCAACUUAAGUGGGUACAGUAGGCCACCUAUGGGCACUCAGACUGCCAGGAAAAGCUGGAGGGUGAGAGUGAGGGUGACGGGCUCUGUCUGAUGCUGGGUGCUUUAAUGAUGAGCCUCAGGGUAGAGGGGAGGAUGGCGGGUCCUAUCCAAGAGAGGGACACCCACAGUCCCCUUUCUCAUCCUGUGCACACAGCCUGCAUAGUGCAGCUCCCCUGCAGUUACCCUGAGCUCUGCAACUGGGGUCUAGCUCUGGAGUGUGGACAGAUGAUAGAUGACAUGGAAUACAGUACACCAUCUUCCUCACCUGCUUCAUAGCCAGAGAGAAAACACGCAGCUGAAGACUCAAGGAAGUUGGUUAGACGUUAGAAGGGACCUGGGCCCCUGAGUCACUGGGGACACAGCCUUCCUUGAAGGGCCCAUUGACCCACUUCAGACUGUCCCAGGGGAAAAGUGUCGUAUGGCACUGAGCUCCUGUAAUUGUUAUGGCAGUGUUGCCUGCUGCUGAAGAUUUUUUAAAAAAUUAAAGCUAAAAUCAUUACUUGUGCAAA